AUACUUACCUGACAGGGGAGAGACCAUGACUACAAAGGUCAAUUUCCCAGGGCGAGGCUUAUCCACUGCAAGCAGGAUGUACUGACCCCUGUGAUUUUCCCCCAAAGUGGGAAAUUCGACUGCAAAAUUUGUGGUAAUGUGGGGCUGUAUUCAAGCUCUCCCCUG